rnacentral:misc_RNA from 1 species
UUUCCGUAGGUGAACCUGCGGAAGGAUCAUUCAUAAUAAAGUGUUUUAUGGCACUUUUUAAAAAUCCAUAUCCACCUUGUGUGCAAUGUUAGAUCUCGUCAAUCUUGGCGAGGUUUUUAUACAUCAACUCAUUCUUUAACUAAUUUGUCUGAAGAAUAUUAUGAAUACUUAAUUCAAAAUACAACUUUCAACAACGGAUCUCUUGGCUCUC